rnacentral:rRNA from 1 species
UACGGAGGGUGCGAGCGUUGUCCGGAAUCACUGGGCGUAAAGGGCGCGUAGGCGGCCUGAUAAGUAGGGGGUGAAAUCCUGCGGCUUAACCGCAGGGCUGCCUUCUAAACUGUCAGGCUAGAGCACGGUAGAGGCAGAUGGAAUUCCCGGUGUAGCGGUGGAAUGCGUAGAGAUCGGGAGGAACACCGGUGGCGAAGGCGGGUCUCUGGGCAAUUCCUGACGCUGAGGCGCGAAAGCGUGGGGAGCAAACGGG